rnacentral:rRNA from 1 species
CCCUUAGAUGUUCUGGGCCGCACGCGCGCUACACUGAUGCAUUCAACGAGUCUAAAACCUGGUCUGAUAGGGCUGGGUAAUCUUUUGAAUGUGCAUCGUGAUUGGGAUAGAUGAUUGCAAUUCUUCAUCUUCAACGAGGAAUGCCUAGUAAACGCAAGUCAUCAGCUUGCAUUGAUUACGUCCCUGCCCUUUGUACACACCGCCCGUCGCUCCUACCGAUUGAAUGUUCCGAUGAAUACCAUGGACUGAGAGUAUGAAUGGGUUCGACUAUUUCUGCUUCUCGGGAAGUGGAGUAAAUCUUAACAUUUAGAGGAAGGAGAAGUCGUAACA